UGUUGUACCCGCGCUUGACUUAAGCAUAUCAGUAAGCGGAGGAAAAGAAACCAACAGGGAUUGCCUUAGUAGCGGGCGAGCGAAGCGGCAUCAGCUCCAGAUUUGAAAUCUGGCUUCCUUCUGGAGGUCCGAGUUGUAAUCUGCAGAUGGAUUUCUACGGGGGCGUCGGUGCCGUCCAAGUGUACCUGGAACGGUUCGCCAUAGAGGGUGAGAGCCCCGUACGGCGGCGCCACGUCCUCCCAACGAAGCCCAUUCGGAGAGUCGAGCAGUUUGGGAAUGCUGCUCUAACGGGAGGUAAAUCCCUUCCAAGGCUAAAUACCCGCCGGAGACCGAUAGCGCAGAAGUAGCGCGAGCGAAAGGUGAAUAGAACUCUGAAAAGAGAGUUAAAGCAUGUGAAAUCGUUGAAGGGGAAGCGGUUUCGACCAGACGCGCGCCGGUAGGUCACCCAGCGUUCUCGCUAGGGGCACUCUGCCGGUGCGGGCCAGCAUCGACUCGCUGCCGUGGUAAAGGCCUAGGAAACGUAGCUCUUCGGAGUGUUAUAGUCCCUGGCGCAAUGCAUGGCUGGCGGGUCGAGGAUUCCAGCGCUUCGGCACGGAUGUUGGCGUAAUGGUCGACUCCGACCCGUCUUGAAACACGGACCAAGGAGUUGACCCAGCGUGCGAGUGUAAGGGUGUCAAGCCCUGACGCGAAAUGAAAGUGACACAGGUGAGAGCCUCACGGCGCCCCCCCGACCGAUCCUGAGGUUCUCCGGCGGAUUUGAGUAGGAGCAUGUUGGGUUUGACCCGAAAGAAGUGUGAACUAUGCCUGGAUAGGGUGAAGCCAGAGGAAACUCUGGUGGAGGCUCGCAGCGGUUCUGACGUGCAAAUCGAUCGUCAAAUCUUGGCAUAGGGGCGAAAGACCAAUCGAUCCUUCCAAUAGCUGGUUCCUGCCGAAGUUCGCGUCGGGAUUA
rnacentral:rRNA from 1 species